rnacentral:rRNA from 1 species
CCUACGGGGCGCAGCAGUGAGGAAUAUUGGUCAAUGGGCGAGAGCCUGAACCAGCCAAGUCGCGUGAGGGAAGACGGUCCUAUGGAUUGUAAACCUCUUUUGCCGGGGAGCAAUUGGCGCUACGUGUAGCGUUAUCGAGAGUACCUGAAGAAAAAGCAUCGGCUAACUCCGUGCCAGCAGCCGCGGUGAUACGGAGGAUGCGAGCGUUAUCCGGAUUUAUUGGGUUUAAAGGGUGCGUAGGCGGAAUGCCAAGUCAGCGGUAAAAUCGCGGGGCUCAACCUAGCUCCGCCGUUGAAACUGGCGUU